rnacentral:rRNA from 1 species
GACGAACGCUGGCGGCGUGCUUAACACAUGCAAGUCGAACGGAAAGGCCCUGCUUUUGUGGGGUGCUCGAGUGGCGAACGGGUGAGUAACACGUGAGUAACCUGCCCUUGACUUUGGGAUAACUUCAGGAGACUGGGGCUAAUACCGGAUAGGAGCUCCUGCUGCAUGGUGGGGGUUGGAAAGUUUCGGCGGUUGGGGAGGGACUCGCGGCUUAUCAGCUUGUUGGUGGGGUAGUGGCUUACCAAGGCUUUGACGGGUAGCCGGCCUGAGAGGGUGACCGGCCACAUUGGGACUGAGAUACGGCCCAGACUCCUACGGGAGGCAGCAGUGGGGAAUAUUGCACAAUGGGCGGAAGCCUGAUGCAGCAACGCCGCGUGCGGGAUGACGGCCUUCGGGUUGUAAACCGCUUUCGCCUGUGACGAAGCGUGAGUGACGGUAAUGGGUAAAGAAGCACCGGCUAACUACGUG